rnacentral:lncRNA from 1 species
CGGUGCUCAGAGACUCAGGAAAAUUCUAGAACUGAAGAUGGGUUAAGCCACAGACACUGCUUCUCAUCUCCAUACCUCCGAGCUCCUGACAGGCUGCAGCUGGUAACGCCUCCCCCUCCUGGCCCAGCUUGCCUAGCUGCCCUCACCUUGACAACCACAGAAAAGCCAAAGACUGCACACAUGUGCACCACACUAUUUAUCCUCCUGCCUGUGUUUGCUACAGUAGCCCCACAAAAAACAUAACAAGGCCACAACAGAGAUGCGACACGUGCCAUGUACCAACUCCCCACACUUCUCAAGGAGGAAAGGCACCUGGUGAUGUUCUGCAGUUCAUCCCCUGCAGCACCUGAGCACCCUUCUCUCUCAGCAUACAUCCCUGCCUGCUGGAGGAAAGCCAGGGACCUGCACGAAACAUCAGCACGCGGCGUCCCAGCCCAUGCAGUUGUCAUGGACAACAGGAGUUCAGAGGAAAGUGUGGGGCAUGUAGACCAUAUGGGCUGCAGGAAUUCAGGUAGCUAUCAGAGUCCAGGAUGAUUUAGGGAAAGGAGUUUACAAAACAGGCUUAUUUUGGAAAGGGCCUGGCACACCGUAGGUUUUCAGUAAAUAUUGACCAAAUCGAUGCAUAAUUCUGCAAUUCCUAAGGAGGAGGUUGAUGGGAACUAAGGAAUCAAGGAAAGAGGAGAGAGAGGGAAUGUUUGGAUCACUCCUGGAUGGGGUGUUUUCAACAUAAAACCCAUGCAGCUGAAAGGUCGUUAUCUUCAGACACAGUAUCCAGGGAAAAACCAAAUAUGACAUUGAAAAUAAGCUCAUGGCAAAUACAACAUCACUGAAGGAAGCAAGAACCUUUGUAAUGCUCCAGGGAGGAGUCCAGCCGCCGUCAUCCCCAGUCAGCCUGCAGGGCGCUGGCCAGCCUUACCAGAGCUGGGAAAGGGCCUGGCUGGACUCCCAGCUACACACAUGUAAGAUGAUGCUGACCAAACUGAGGGCCUCACACGGCAUUUGUUCUCUGCACAGAGCACCAUCAUCCCAGCCCAAGCCUCUUCCUGUUCUAUUUAUUUCUGAAAAUAGAUUGCUGUACCUGCAACUUUUAUUCCUUUGGGGAACCAUCCCUUCUGCUCUCCUUGUGGUCCUGUGGGACUACCAGUCACUGUUUCCCUCCUCUAGCCCCAGACUCUCACC